rnacentral:rRNA from 1 species
GAUGAACGCUGGCGGCGUGCCUAAUACAUGCCAGUCGAGCGAACAGACGAGGAGCUUGCUCCUCUGACGUUAUCGGCGGACGGGUGAGUAACACGUGGAUAACCUACCUAUAAGACUGGGAUAACUUCGGGAAACCGGAGCUAAUACCGGAUAAUAUAUUGAACCGCAUGGUUCAAUAGUGAAAGACGGUUUUGCUGUCACUUAUAGAUGGAUCCGCGCCGCAUUAGUUAGUUGGUAAGGUAACGGCUUACCAAGGCGACGAUGCGUAGCCGACCUGAAAGGGUGAUCGGCCACACUGGAACUGAGACACGGUACAGACUCCUACGGGAGGCAGCAGUAGGGAAUCUUCCGCAAUGGGCGAAAGCCUGACGGAGCAACGCCGCGUGAGUGAUGAAGGUCUUCGGAUCGUAGAACUCUGUUAUUAGGGAAGAACAAAUGUGUAAGUAACUAUGCACGUCUUGACGGUACCUAAUCAGAAAGCCACGGCUAACUACGUG